rnacentral:rRNA from 1 species
UACGGGAGGCAGCAGUGGGGAAUAUUGCACAAUGGGCGCAAGCCUGAUGCAGCCAUGCCGCGUGUAUGAAGAAGGCCUUCGGGUUGUAAAGUACUUUCAGUCGUGAGGAAGGUGUUAAGGUUAAUAACCUUAGCAAUUGACGUUAGCGACAGAAGAAGCACCGGCUAACUCCGUGCCAGCAGCCGCGGUAAUACGGAGGGUGCGAGCGUUAAUCGGAAUUACUGGGCGUAAAGGGCACGCAGGCGGUUAAUUAAGUUGGAUGUGAAAUCCCCGGGCUUAACCUGGGAAUGGCAUUCAAGACUGGUUAGCUAGAGUCUUGUAGAGGGGGUAGAAUUCCAUGUGUAGCGGUGAAAUGCGUAGAGAUGUGGAGGAAUACCGGGUGGCGAAGGCGGCCCCUGGGACAAAGGCUGACGCUCAUGUGCGAAAGCGUGGGGAGCGAAACAGGAUUAGAUACC